UGGGGAAUAUUGGACAAUGGGCGAAAGCCUGAUCCAGCCACGCCGCGUGUGUGAAGAAGGUCUUCGGAUUGUAAAGCACUUUAAGUUGGGAGGAAGGGCAGUAAGUGAAUACCUUGCUGUUUCGACGUUACCGACAGAAUAAGCACCGGCUAACUCGGUGCCAGCAGCCGCGGUAAUACAGAGGGUGCAAGCGUUAAUCGGGAUUACUGGGCGUAAAGCGCGCGUAGGUGGUUCGUUAAGCUGGAUGUGAAAGCACCGGGCUCAACCUGGGAACGGCGUCCAAAACUGGCGGGCUGGAGUAGGGCAGAGGGUGGUGGAAUUUCCGGUGUAGCGGUGAAAUGCGUAGAUAUAGGAAGGAACACCAGUGGCGAAGGCGACCACCUGGGCUCAUACUGACACUGAGGUGCGAAAGCGUGGGGAGCAAACAGG
rnacentral:rRNA from 1 species